AUGGUUUCUGUUUUAGCUACAGAGUGAGACAUCUCACUUCUAUACUAUCUUUGGUGGGAGUCGCACAUGCGCAGUAGCUUGGUAAGAUCACAGCUAGAUUACUCUUCUCCAACUUUGGUCAGUCCAAGGCAGGAUUAACUGGGAGACUUCUUCUAGACCAGGGCCACUUGUGAAAUACCUGCAGAACAGGAACAGGAAGUAGUUCUUUUGGGAGAUUGUGGUCAACUAGUUGGUGUUGUAGCAGUGUUUUGCCAUUGAGAACAAGCUAGCAUGCUAGCGCUAGAAUGUACUACGGUUAGCCACCUUGUUUUGCUAGUGACGUAGAAAGCCGUGCAAAUUUUGAACAGCUCACCCGGAGACUAAAGACAGAGGACAUUCAGAAACUGUAUCUCACUCAAAACAGCCUGGAUAGUUUUUUUGUGUGUGUGGAAGCACCAGAGACACACAAUAACACCCCAAAUCCCAGAAAAAGUAAUUAUUUCAUAAUAUGGACACUUUAAUAACGCAAUAAGCAUUGAGGAACAGAC